GAUGAACGCUGGCGGCGUGCCUAAUACAUUCAAGUCGAGCGAACAGAUGAGAAGCUUGCUCCUCUGACGUUAGCGGCGGACGGGUGAGUAACACGUGGAUAACCUACCUAUAAGACUGGGAUAACUUCGGGAAACCGCAGCUAAUACCGGAUAAUAUAUUGAACGGCAUGGUUCAAUAGUGAAACACGGUUUUCCUGUCACUUAUAGAUGGAUCCGCGUCGCAUUAGCUAGUUGGUAAGGUAACGGCUUACCAAGGCAACGAUGCGUAGCUGACCUGAGAGGGUGAUCAGCCACACUGGAACUGAGACACGGUCCAGACUCCUACGGGAGGCAGCAGUAGGGAAUCUUCCGCAAUGGGCGAAAGCCUGACGGAGCAACGCCGCGUGAGUGAAGAAGGUCUUCGGAUUGUAAAACUCUGUUAUUAGGGAAGAAAAAAUGUGGAAGUAACUAUGCACGUCUUGACGGUACCUAAACAGAAAGCCACGGCUAACUACGUG
rnacentral:rRNA from 1 species